GAUGAACGCUGGCGGUAUGCCUAACACAUAGCAAGUCGUACGAGAGUUUUUAACUCUAGUGGCGGACGGGUGAGUAACACGUGAGAAUUUGCCUUUAGGAGGGGGAUAACAAUGGGAAACUGUUGCUAAUACCCCAUAAUGCUGAGGAGCUAAAAGUGAAAACUGCCAAGAGAGAGGCUUGCGUCUGAUUAGCUAGUUGGUGGGGGUAAAGGCCUCCCAAGGCGACGAUCAGUAGCUGGUCUGAGAGGAUGAUCAGCCACACUGGGACUGAGACACGGCCCAGACUCCUACGGGAGGCAGCAGUGAGGAAUUUUCCGCAAUGGGCGAAAGCCUGACGGAGCAAUACCGCGUGAAGGAAGAAGGCCCGUGGGUCGUAAACUUCUUUUCUCAAGGAAGAAAAAAAUGACGGUACUUGAGGAAUAAGCACCGGCUAACUCUGUG
rnacentral:rRNA from 1 species